rnacentral:rRNA from 1 species
UACAGAGGUCCCAAGCGUUGUUCGGAUUCACUGGGCGUAAAGGGUGCGUAGGCGGCGCGGUAAGUCGGGUGUGAAAUCUCGGAGCUUAACUCCGAAACUGCAUUCGAUACUGCCGUGCUUGAGGACUGGAGAGGAGACUGGAAUUUACGGUGUAGCGGUGAAAUGCGUAGAUAUCGUAAGGAAGACCAGUGGCGAAGGCGGGUCUCUGGACAGUUCCUGACGCUGAGGCACGAAGGCCAGGGGAGCAAACGGG